GCAGCUGUGGCCUACUGGUUAGGGCUUCGGUCUUGUAACUGAAGGGUUGCCGGUUCGAUCCCCGACCAGUAGGA
rnacentral:tRNA from 1 species